rnacentral:rRNA from 1 species
UACGUAGGUGGCGAGCGUUGUCCGGAUUUAUUGGGUUUAAAGGGUGCGUAGGCGGUCUGUUAAGUCAGUGCUGAAAUAUCCCAGCUUAACUGGGAGGGUGGCAUUGAUACUGAUGGACUUGAGUAAAGUUGAGGUUGGCGGAAUUGACGGUGUAGCGGUGAAAUGCUUAGAUAUCGUCAAGAACACCUAUUGCGAAGGCAGCUAACUAAGCUUUAACUGACGCUGAGGCACGAAAGUGUGGGGAUCAAACAGG